rnacentral:rRNA from 1 species
AGUGAACGCUGGCGGCAGGCCUAACACAUGCAAGUCGAACGGCAGCACGGCAGUAGCAAUACUGUGGGUGGCGAGUGGCGGACGGGUGAGGAAUACAUCGGGAUCUACCCUGUUGUGGGGGAUAACGUAGGGAAACUUACGCUAAUACCGCAUAAGAACUGAGGUUGAAAGCGGCGGACCGCAAGGCGUCGCGCGAUUGGAUGAACCGAUGUCCGAUUAGCUAGUUGGCGGGGUAAAGGCCCACCAAGGCGACGAUCGGUAGCUGGUCUGAGAGGAUGAUCAGCCACACUGGAACUGAGACACGGUCCAGACUCCUACGGGAGGCAGCAGUAGGGAAUAUUGGACAAUGGGCGCAAGCCUGAUCCAGCCAUGCCGCGUGAGUGAAGAAGGCCCUCGGGUUGUAAAGCUCUUUUGUCCGGAAAGAAAAGCGCCGGGUUAAUACCCUGGUGUCCUGACGGUACCGGAAGAAUAAGCACCGGCUAACUUCGUGCCAGCAGCCGAC